AGGAGUGCAAGAGAUGCGCAAGUCGGAAGGGUUGUGUCAGGGCCUCGGUCCUGCCUGAGAGACCCAUGUGUUUGGAACGGGCGAAGUGAGAGCAAUUUCGUGGGUGCGAGAGCCUUGUGGGAGACCCGAGGCGCAUCGCUGGCCGAGCCGUAUGGUCACGCUGUGGCCGGUUUCGAGUGCGAGCGUAUCUGUUGCGACCCGAAAGAUGGUGAACUAUGCCUGAGGAGGGUGAAGCCAGAGGAAACUCUGGUGGAGGCCCGUAGCGGUUCUGACGUGCAAAUCGAUCGUCGCACUUGGGUAUAGGGGCGAAAGACUAAUCGAACCAUCUAGUAGCUGGUUCCCUCCGAAGUUUCCCUCAGGAUAGCUGGAGUUGUUGAGCAGUUUCGUCGGGUAAAGCGAAUGAUUAGAGGUAUCGGGGUUGAAAGGGCCUCGCCCUAUUCUCAAACUUUAAAUCGGCGAGAAGGGUUGUCUUGCCUGCCGGAAGGCAUCCCUUGAAUGCAGGGGCUCCAAGUGGGCCGUUUUUGGUAAGCAGAACCGGCGAUGCGGGAUGAACCGAACGUUGGGCUAUGGCGCCGGAGUCGACGCUAAGCAGAUACCAGGAAAGGUGUUGGUUGAUCUAGACAGCAG
rnacentral:rRNA from 1 species